UUAACUGAGUUCCUUCUCUAUUUUCUCUAGUGUUGUCAGCCUUUUCCCCUUAAGUUUUCCGGGGAAAGGAGGUGAGAGGGUCCCCGAGGGACAGCCCUGAGUCCCCAGCCCCGGGCUCCGUGACGCUCCGCCUGGCUCUUUGUUACUUAACUCUCCUGUGCAUCGAACUCCUCAUCUGGAAAGGAGAGAGAACAAGUGCCUCCCUCUGAGGGCUGGUGUGCCAGGGACAGAAGAGGAUGCGCUAGGGUGUUGGCCACAGCACCUGGCACACAAUGGAGAAAUGGAGGCUCUCCCCUGCCGAUUUGCUUCAUGCUUGUGCUGGGCGGGGCACUGUUCCGAGUGCCUUCUCUGUAUGCCCUGGGGAGGCUGGUGGAUAGUUCGCUGUGGAGAGAAGCUGAGGAAAACAGGGCCAGAGAGAGCAGAUGCUUUGCUGCUGGUCCUGAAGCUGGAGGAAGAGGCCAAAAGCAAAGGAAUGCAAGGGGUACAGCUCUCCCUACUGGGAAGGGAAGGAGACCACUGUACCCCUAGAACCUCUCCAGGGAGCGCUGCCCUGCCGAUACCUUGCUUUCGGCCCCUGAAGACUCACUGGAGAUUUCUGACCUGCAGUGCCAUCAGAGAACA